rnacentral:rRNA from 1 species
UACGUAGGGUGCAGGCGUUAAUCGGAAUUCCUGGGCGUAAAGCGUGCGCAGGCGGUCUUUUAAGUCAGAUGUGAAAUCCCCGGGCUUAACCUGGGAACUGCGUUUAAAACUGGAAGGCUUGAGUGUGGCAGAGGGGGGUGGAAUUCCACGUGUAGCAGUGAAAUGCGUAGAGAUGUGGAGGAACACCGAUGGCGAAGGCAGCCCCCUGGGAUAACACUGACGCUCAUGCACGAAAGCGUGGGGAGCAAACAGG